CCUACGGGAGUCAGCAGUGAGGAAUAUUGGUCAAUGGGCGCGAGCCUUAACCAGCCAAGUAGCGUGAAGGAUGACUGCCCUACGGGUUGUAAACUUCUUUUAUAAAGGAAUAAAGUGAGGCACGUGUGCCUUUUUGUAUGUACUUUAUGAAUACGGAUCGGCUAACUCCGUGCCAGCAGCCGCGGUAUGACGGAGGAUCCGAGCUUUAUCCGGAUUUAUUGGGUUUAAAGGGUGCGUAGAUGGGUUGUUAAGUCAGCUGUGAAAGUGUGCGGCUCAACCGUAAAAUUGCCAGUGAUACUGGCAGGCUUGAGUACAGUUGAGGUAGGCGGAAUUCGUGGUGUAGCGGUGAAAUGCUUAGAUAUCACGAAGAACCCCGAUUGCGAAGGCAGCCUGCUAAGCCGCCACUGACAUUGAUGCACGAAAGUGUGGGGAUCAAACAGGAUUAGAUACCCUUGUAGUC
rnacentral:rRNA from 1 species